CAGUAGCCACGGGAAUACGUAGGUGGCAAGCGUUGUCCGGAAUUAUUGGGCGUAAAGGGCUCGCAGGCGGUUUCUUAAGUCUGAUGUGAAAGCCCCCGGCUCAACCGGGGAGGGUCAUUGGAAACUGGGAAACUUGAGUGCAGAAGAGGAGAGUGGAAUUCCACGUGUAGCGGUGAAAUGCGUAGAGAUGUGGAGGAACACCAGUGGCGAAGGCGACUCUCUGGUCUGUAACUGACGCUGAGGAGCGAAAGCGUGGGGAGCGAACAGGAUUAGAGACCCCAGUAGUCCCUGUCUCUUAUAC
rnacentral:rRNA from 1 species